AACAUCGCGCACCUGCGGGAACCUGCGGAAGGAUCAUUACUGAGUGCGGGUUCCAAUGAGCCCAACCUCCCACCCGUGUUUACCGUAACCGCGUUGCCUCGGCGGGCCCACUGGGGCCUGUCCCCGGUCGCCGGGGGGCAUCUGCCCCCGGGCCCGCGCCCGCCGAAGCGCCCUAGAACCCUGCCUGAACAGUGAGUCUGAGUGAGUGAUUGAAUCAUUAAAACUUUCAACAACGGAUCU
rnacentral:misc_RNA from 1 species